rnacentral:rRNA from 1 species
UACGGGGGGUGCGAGCGUUGUCCGGAAUUACUGGGCGUAAAGGGCGCGUAGGCGGCCACCGCAAGUCGAUUGUGAAAUCUCCGGGCUUAACCCGGAAAGGUCAACCGAUACUGCGGGGCUAGAGUGCAGAAGGGGCAACUGGAAUUCUCGGUGUAGCGGUGAAAUGCGUAGAUAUCGAGAGGAACACCUGCGGCGAAGGCGGGUUGCUGGGCUGACACUGACGCUGAUGCGCGAAAGCUAGGGGGGCGAACGGG